GACGAACGCUGGCGGCGUGCUUAACACAUGCAAGUCGAACGAUGAAGCCGGAGCUUGCUCCGGUGGAUUAGUGGCGAACGGGUGAGUAACACGUGAGCAAUCUGCCCUUGACUCUGGGAUAACUGCGGGAAACUGUAGCUAAUACUUGAUACGACACCUUGGGGCAUCCCAGGGUGUGGAAAGAAUUUCGGUCAAGGAUGAGCUCGCGGCCUAUCAGCUAGUUGGUGAGGUAUGGCUCACCAAGGCGACGACGGGUAGCCGGCCUGAGAGGGUGACCGGCCACACUGGAACUGAGACACGGUCCAGACUCCUACGGGAGGCAGCAGUGGGGAAUAUUGCACAAUGGGCGAAAGCCUGAUGCAGCAACGCCGCGUGAGGGAUGAAGGCCUUCGGGUUGUAAACCUCUUUUAGCAGGGAAGAAGCGAAAGUGACGGUACCUGCAGAAAAAGCACCGGCUAACUACGUGCCAGCCGCCGCCGUAA
rnacentral:rRNA from 1 species